AUUUGACUAUCCUUGGACAUGAAUCUUUUUUGACCAUUCCUGGUUUUUUUGGUAGAAUAAAUUCUUUGAGUUGGAAUUGCUGGGUGAUGUUUAAAGCUCUUGCUACAUGUUGUGAAAUCUGUAUCUGUAGCUUGUGGCUGUGAUAAACAUCCUCAGAGAUCCCUGCUAUCCAACUCUUGUCACCAGCUAACUGGUCAUUAGGCCAAGCUGUGUAAGUGAACCAUUAGACAAUUUGAUAAAAAUAAGCACUGCUGCCAUUAGCAUGUGUCUGUGCCACAAGUUAGUGACACAUGUACAUAUAUUCCCUUUACCUCACAGUAACCCUCUAGGGUGUGGGUAUCAUAAUCUUCAUUUUUAAAAUGAGGGUACUUAGGCAUGAAUAGGCUAAGUAAUUUGCUCAAGAUCACAAGUUAGUAAAUGGCAGUCAGUUUUCAGGUGUAGGCUUUGAAGACUCUAAACCUGUGCUUUUAACAUCUGCCUCUUCUUGUGACUGGGGGCUUCACUGGAGUCAAGCCUCAGGAGGCAUUUGCAGCCACAGUGGGUCAUGCGAGGUAGAGCAGAUUGCAACCUGAUAGAAUUCUUGGACUGGCCCACGGCCAGCCUUUUUAAUUUUUCCAAGAGUUAAAGUUGUGGAUCUGAGAUGUGGCCUGGCCUGCCAGGGCUAUGGUGGGCUCUGUGUGAUUGCUUCAUUAGUAUUGUGGCAUGGAGUCUUCCAUCAGCCUCAAAGAACCCUUGCAAUAAUGCAUUAUUUCCCCGCAGGGUUUUCUGCCCAAGAAUUUGCAAGCUGAAGCUCUCUGCAAACUUGAUAGGAGAGUAAAAGCCACAAUAGAGCAGUUUAUGAAGAUCUUGGAGGAGAUUGACACACUGAUCCUGCCAGAAAAUUUCAAAGACAGUAGAUUGAAAAGGAAAGGCUUGGUAAAAAAGGUUCAGG
rnacentral:sRNA from 1 species